AUUGAACGCUGGCGGCAGGCCUAACACAUGCAAGUCGAGCGGAUGAGGGUAGCUUGCUACCUGAUUCAGCGGCGGACGGGUGAGUAAUGCCUAGGAAUCUGCCCGAUAGUGGGGGACAACGUUUCGAAAGGAACGCUAAUACCGCAUACGUCCUACGGGAGAAAGUGGGGGAUCUUCGGACCUCACGCUAUCGGAUGAGCCUAGGUCGGAUUAGCUAGUUGGUGAGGUAAUGGCUCACCAAGGCUACGAUCCGUAACUGGUCUGAGAGGAUGAUCGGUCACACUGGAACUGAGACACGGUCCAGACUCCUACGGGAGGCAGCAGUGGGGAAUAUUGGACAAUGGGCGAAAGCCUGAUCCAGCCAUGCCGCGUGUGUGAAGAAGGUCUUCGGAUUGUAAAGCACUUUAAGUUGGGAGGAAGGGCUGUAGGCUAAUAUCCUGCAGUUUUGACGUUACCAACAGAAUAAGCACCGGCUAACUUCGUGCCAGCAGCCGCCGAAAAAC
rnacentral:rRNA from 1 species